ACAAGGGUCAGCUUCUCGAGACCGAGCAAAUGUUCCGCGACGCCGGUGAGCAGUGGCCUGUUAUUAUCCCAAGGAGGAGAUCCGCCAAGCAGCCCCUAGUACUAAGACUCAUGCCUGCUGGUGUGGAUGACUACUGAGCUUGCAUGUGAUUAUUCUUCUGAUCAGCAUAGAAGAUUUGAUGGAACUAGUAACUCUUUGGAAGAUAAUGAGUUGCGUCUUGUACCUGGUGAUGAGUUGCGGCUACGCUAUUUAGGAGAUGCAGCUCAUGCGGCAGUCAGUAGGGCAUGUGUGUCCAAACACCGCCUACUGGUGUUUCAGCCUCAGCUGCGAAGAACAAGGGGAUGGAUAAUUACAAACAGGGGAAGUAUGCCGAUGCCAUAAAGUGGCUUUCUUGGGCUGUGAUUCUUCUUGAGAAGACUUGUGAUGGUGCUGCUUCCAUGGAGGUCUUAUCUAGCAGGGCUUCAUGUUACAAAGAAGUUGGGGAGUAUAAAAAGGCUGUGGUAGAUUGUACAAAGGUUUUGAUGCGUUAUAUUAGGACACUUAGCACCUGUAGUUUGGAUACUUUGAAGGACUUCAAUUAUGAAACGGUUGAACCGAGUACAUAAAUGGUCUUAGGGAAGAGUUGAGCAGAAUACUCACAUUAGCACAACAAGACAUUUCUGUAGUUAACAGGGAGAGUUGAAGAGAAAAUGAGAUGGUCUGAGGGGAUUCAUCAAGCUGUAGAAGCCAAAGAAGGUGUCAAAAUUGAGCUAGCAGAAGCAGCAAAAGCACAAUUUUCACGUGAUUACAGUGAUAACCUUGCUCUUGUCCGGGCUUGUGAGGCCUGGAAAGAAGCUGAAAGAGACGUAGCUGGAUAUGAAUAUUGUUGGAAGAAUUUUCAUUCUGCUCAAUCAAUGAAAGCUAUUGAUGCUCUGUGAAGGGAGUUCUACUCUUCCCUUAAGGAAUAUGUUUAAAAUUUUAAUGCUAAAGUGGAUGUGAAUUGGAUGAUUAUAUAGAUUACAAACGGGUUUUUAAUUGAAUGAAUAUGUAGUUUGGAAUUACUUGUAGAUGAAAACUUAUAAUAGUUGCAGACUUUAAUCAAACAGGUUCAGAGUUUGAUGAUUUAUAUAGUUUGUUGAAUGUUCAUGAUUCAGGUGAAUUGUUGGUUUGAUUGAUUAUUGUAAAUUACAGAUUGUAUUGAAUAGAUU